AACGUCAAGUAAAUAUAUAAUUAUAUAUUGCCAAAUGCUCAAUAUUUAUCAAGAAAAGCAUACGUCUCAGUAGACUUGUAAAAUAUCAAUCUAGUAAAUUACUUAAAAUAAAAUAUAUAUAACGAAAAAAGAUUUUCGACGAUACACAUACCACAGUUGUUGUCAUAGAAAGACCUCGAAGAUUAACAAAUUUUACAGAAAUCCUGUUUAAAAGUACUUAUUAUUAGAAAAACAUAUCAAUUGAAAUGGCUACACCUACCCCUGAUGCUCCUGAAAAUUUCGAUCAGUUUGAUGAUGAUGAAUCCGAGCAGCAACUGGGUGCAACCGGUUCUGGCCGCAAGAGACUCUUCAGCAAAGAAUUACGUUGCAUGAUGUAUGGGUUUGGGGAUGAUCAGAAUCCAUACACGGAGAGUGUGGACUUUUUGGAGGAUUUGGUUAUUGAAUUUAUUACAGAAACCACACACAGAGCAAUGGAGGUAGGAAGAACAGGGAGGGUUCAAGUGGAAGAUAUUAUUUUCUUAGUACGAAAAGAUCAAAGGAAAUAUGCUAGAGUCAAGGACCUUCUUACAAUGAAUGAAGAACUGAAGAAAGCUAGGAAAGCUUUUGAUGAAGUUAAAUAUGUCGAAGACCAACAAUAAUGACGAUGGCGAACAAGAGACAGCUUCUAAGGCUGAUGCAAAAUGAAGAACCAAGACAUGAUUAGUUAUGUAAUAUCAUACUUAUAUCACGAGCUGUGUUACGCUGAAGUUGAAGCAAAAGGGUAUAAUAAGGAUAGGAUCAGAUAAGUCGGUUAGCGUAGCAAAUAAUACGACUAAUAAUAAAUUAUUUUGUUCAUUC